ACUCUAAGGUGACUGCCGGCUAAAAGUCGGAGGAAGGUGGGGAGUGACGUCAAAUCAUCAUGCCCCUUAUGACCUGGGCUACACACGUGCUACAAUGGGCGGUACAAAGGGUCGCGAACCCGCGAGGGGGAGCCAAUCCCAAAAAGCCGCUCUCAGUUCGGAUCGCAGGCUGCAACUCGCCUGCAUGAAGCCGGAAUCGCUAGUAAUCGCGGAUCAGCAUGCCGCGGUGAAUACGUUCCCGGGCCUU
rnacentral:rRNA from 1 species